CGGGAAAGAAGUAUGUCAUUCACGUCGGGAUCGUCGGACUCGUUAAAGGAAAAAAGGAUUCUGCCAGAUCAUGAUACUUUCAUAUCUAACAUGCUGGUGAUGCUAGCCAGCUAACCUCAUAUCUGGAUGCCUCACUCUAGUUCCCGAUAGAGCAGCAUACUGGCCCUCCAUUCCCAAACUUGAAGCCCCCUGUCGCCAACUGGAAAGAACAGGAAAAAGUAGUGGCUUAAGAUCUGCCAACCUGCUCGGUGGGUGACAGGUAACCGUCUUUCCACCAAGCUGUUCCAGGCCUGGAGUGGAACUUCCAUAGGCUUGUAGACCUGAAGUGGUGUGAUGUUUGUCCAGAUCUGACACGCCUAUUAGCUCAACCACAGUCUUCACAGCUGCAGUCGUCUGCAUCUAAUACACCGGCCACGACAGGUGACACAGAUCUGCUGUAGUAUUUACUGCUGUCCACUGCUGUAGUAUUUAAUUUACCGGCUGCACCAGUUUCUACUCCACUGGCCGUGAAGGGAGAAACUUUUGAGGAUUCCCAGAUGGAUACAGAUCUGCCAUGCACUCCACCACUGCCUGACAACCUCACCCAGAAGUGCAUACACUGGGCCUUUCAAGACUGACAAAGCAGAGAUGGGUGGCUGACAAGGAAAAAUAAAACAACACGCGCACACACACACUCACACACACACUUUAUCCACAAUGUAAAUAAGUUGUAAUUGCUUGCUUAUUUAAUGAUUGCUCCAUUUUAUUUUAGGAUUGGAGAUAUCUACUCCUAUAUAUCCAUUAUCAAUGUCUGCAUAAUUACUCUAAAUAUCUAUCAAAUCAAAGUGGGAUUGAUAAUAUUAUAAAAGACUGUGUACAGUUUUAGGAAAUUCUGUGUACAUUUUUCUGAGUUGAAAAACACGCCUCCCUCUCACACACACACACUACACCCAAUGUAAAUAAAUUGCAAUAACUUGUUUAAUGUAUGUAUGCUCCACUUUAUUUUAGGAAAAUAUCUGUAAUAAAGUACAUUCACA
ensembl:lncRNA